rnacentral:rRNA from 1 species
UACGGAGGGGGCUAGCGUUGUUCGGAAUUACUGGGCGUAAAGCGCACGUAGGCGGCUUUGUAAGUUAGAGGUGAAAGCCCGGGGCUCAACUCCGGAAUUGCCUUUAAGACUGCAUCGCUAGAAUUGUGGAGAGGUAAGUGGAAUUCCGAGUGUAGAGGUGAAAUUCGUAGAUAUUCGGAAGAACACCAGUGGCGAAGGCGGCUCUCUGGA